rnacentral:tRNA from 1 species
UGCGCCCAUAGCUCAACUGGAUAGAGUUCUUGACUACGAAUCAAGCGGUUGUGGGUUCGAGUCCCGCUGGGCGCACUUA